rnacentral:rRNA from 1 species
GGGUGCCUAGGGGCGCAGCAGUGGGGAAUAUUGCACAAUGGGGGAAACCCUGAUGCAGCAACGCCGCGUGAGUGAUGACGGCCUUCGGGUUGUAAAGCUCUGUCUUCAGGGACGAUAAUGACGGUACCUGAGGAGGAAGCCACGGCUAACUACGUGCCAGCAGCCGCGGUAAUAUGUAGGUGGCGAGCGUUGUCCGGAUUUACUGGGCGUAAAGGGAGCGUAGGCGGACUUUUAAGUGAGAUGUGAAAUACUCGGGCUCAACUUGAGUGCUGCAUUUCAAACUGGAAGUCUAGAGUGCAGGAGAG